AUCCAAUGAAAUAAAUAGAUGCGGAUAACUGAUUCGUAAUCAGUAGGUCGGGGGUUCAAGUCCCCC
rnacentral:tRNA from 1 species